rnacentral:rRNA from 1 species
AUUGAACGCUGGCGGCAGGCCUAACACAUGCAAGUCGGACGGUAGCACAGAGGAGCUUGCUCCUUGGGUGACGAGUGGCGGACGGGUGAGUAAUGUCUGGGGAUCUGCCCGAUAGAGGGGGAUAACCACUGGAAACGGUGGCUAAUACCGCAUAACGUCGCAAGACCAAAGAGGGGGACCUUCGGGCCUCUCACUAUCGGAUGAACCCAGAUGGGAUUAGCUAGUAGGCGGGGUAAUGGCCCACCUAGGCGACGAUCCCUAGCUGGUCUGAGGGGAUGACCAGCCACACUGGAACUGAGACACGGUCCAGACUCCUACGGGAGGCAGCAGUGGGGAAUAUUGCACAAUGGGCGCAAGCCUGAUGCAGCCAUGCCGCGUGUAUGAAGAAGGCCUUCGGGUUGUAAAGUACUUUCAGCGGGGAGGAAGGCGGUGAGGUUAAUAACCUCGCCGAUUGACGUUACCCGCAGAAGAAGCACCGGCUAACUCCGUGCCAGCAGCCGCUGUAA